UACGGAGGGUGCAAGCGUUAUCCGGAUUCACUGGGUUUAAAGGGUGCGUAGGUGGGUAGGUAAGUCCGUGGUGAAAUCUCUGAGCUUAACUCAGAAACUGCCGUGGAUACUACUUGUCUUGAAUAUUGUGGAGGUGAGCGGAAUAUGUCAUGUAGCGGUGAAAUGCUUAGAUAUGACAUAGAACACCAAUUGCGAAGGCAGCUCACUACACAAUGAUUGACGCUGAGGCACGAAAGCGUGGGGAUCAAACAGG
rnacentral:rRNA from 1 species